AGAUAUUUCAUUGAAAAUUUGAAUCCCACCCAUCCCAUACACCUCAAACACGCACCCAAGAAUCAAAGUAAUCCAACAUUUCAAAAUUCAAACACCCCACUUCUCUUCCUUCUCUCUCUCAAAUCCCCUAUGGAUUAGAUCUGGAUCUGCUCCCUCUCUCUCUCUAUUCAUCCAUAAAUCAACCAACAAGAAAAACAUCAAUUCACUUGCUGAUGCCUAUUCACAUGUAUGAUUUUCUAGGGGUUUUGAUUUCCAUCUUAAUUCACCCUGUUCACUGGAUCUGCCAAACUCUCCCCCUUCUCAAACCCUAAUCCCAAUUGCACCGCGUCACUUUCAUGGCUCCUCAAAACACAUCUUCCAUAUUCGUUUCAUUUAAGGUGCUUGAGGGUUUGGAUUUGCUGAGUCGACUCAGAAGUGUAGAAAGAUGGAGCCGAAUGGGCUUAUGGUUACUCGCCAAGAGUCCAAUCGUUGGUCUUAUGCAAGCUUUUCCUUGUGUACAGAUGCCACCAAAUCGGCAAGAAUUCUGUAGCUGCCAAAUGCAACGCCUGCCAUAGGGUAUCUACUCUGGCAACACGCCUUGAUUGUAAAAUAUCAUUCUGUGAUAGAGUGUUGAAGGACCAGGGUUUAAAAGGGCAAAUGGUUCGGCCACUGAUCUCUAUGUGUCUUAUCGUUGACCGUAAAGAUUAGUUUUCAAGAUAGGGUAUUAAGGCAGUUUUGAGGAAAAAAAGGUGAAGGUGGACAGGAGAGUGUUUAUCAGUGAUCCGAGGGAUGUGAUUUGCGAUGUGGUGGAGAAGAUGGGUGUUGAUAUGGUGGUGUUGGGUAGUCAUGGUUACCAGAUUAUCCUUUACGUUGGUAAAAGAUAUUACUCGGACAUUAGAUGAAGCUAUAGUGCUCUUUGUCAACCGGCUUGCACAGUGGGAUGCCAGUUGGUAUUCUUUUUUGUUUGAAUCACUUUCAGGAAUAUUAGUAGCAUACAAAACACAUAGAUUAUCUGCGACAUCCAUAUUCCUCUAAAUGUUAUAGAAGGAUUACAAAAAUGUGUUGGGCUGCAUUUGGAGACUGACCAAUAUUCCUCUAAUGAGAUAGAUGAGUUGGAUGCUAUACAAAUCUCAUACGGAGCAGUGCACCUGAUCAUUUGUUGUUAGAGGGAAGAACAUGUGAGGCUUCAGAUUCCUUCGUCUCUUCAAGGGACAUCGUCUUUUAAUUCAUCAGCAUCGCUUGAUAACUCAUUAUCCGUUCUUGGAGCGGGUACCCGUCUUUUCGCUCUCACAAAGCGCAGGGCAAAACCUGCGGUACGCAUUAUCUUUAUUUUAUAAAGUUUGACUAAGAUACAUUGUUUUAUUUAAAUUGAAUGAUUUAUAAUGAAUGUAGUAGAUUGAUGUAUGGUAGUUAUUUGGGUGCUAAUUGGAGGGGCCUAUAGGCUGAUUGAUGUCCCCAUGAGCAACUGUAUCAACAGUGGGAUCAAUAAAGUCUACAUUUUGAUUCAGUUUAAUUCGGCAUCACUCAACAAACACUUGGCCCGCGCUUAUAAUUUUGGUAAUGGUGUUACCUUUGGAGACGGUUUCGUUGAAGCACUCUCCGCAACUCAAACUCCAGGUGAGGAAGGUAAGAGGUGAUUCUAGGGUACUGCAGAUGCGGUUCGACAGUUUCAUUGGCUGUUUGAGGAUGCAAGAAGCAAGGAUAUUGAGGAUGUUCUCAUUCUAUCUGUAGAUCACUUGUAUAGUAUGGAUUAUAUGGGAAAGGUAGAGAAAUCAGGACAUAUCGAUCCAUGAGGGCAUCAUGGAGGAUCAUAUCUUCUAUUGAGCAGAAGAAAGAGAGCCGUGGGAAUGAAGAUCAUGUCAAGCUAAUUAAGGACUAUAGGGCGAGAAACGAGACCGAAGUAAGCAAAAUUUAUGACGGAUCAUAUGUUUAACAUUGUUUUAUAAAGAUAUGUAACUAAACGCAAAGAAUUUAAA